GGUUAACCGUAUAGGGGAGCCGGAGGGAAACCGAGUCUUAACCGGGCGUUAAGUUGCAGGGUAUAGACCCGAAACCCGGUGAUCUAGCCAUGGGCAGGUUGAAGGUUGGGUAACACUAACUGGAGGACCGAACCGACUAAUGUUGAAAAAUUAGCGGAUGACCUGUGGCUGGGGGUGAAAGGCCAAUCAAACCGGGAGAUAGCUGGUUCUCCCCGAAAGCUAUUUAGGUAGCGCCUCGUGAAUUCAUCUCCGGGGGUAGAGCACUGUUUCGGCUAGGGGGCCAUCCCGGCUUACCAACCCGAUGCAAACUGCGAAUACCGGAGAAUGUUAUCACGGGAGACACACGGCGGGUGCUAACGUCCGUCGUGAAGAGGGAAACAACCCAGACCGCCAGCUAAGGUCCCAAAGUCAUGGUUAAGUGGGAAACGAUGUGGGAAGGCCCAGACAGCCAGGAUGUUGGCUUAGAAGCAGCCAUCAUUUAAAGAAAGCGUAAUAGCUCACUGGUCGAGUCGGCCUGCGCGGAAGAUGUAACGGGGCUAAACCAUGCACCGAAGCUGCGGCAGCGAACGUAUCACCCAAGACAACUUUACGGAGUUGACGAUUGACGGAGCGAAGCGACGUCAAAGCGUUCAUUAAAGUCGAGUUGGCUUAGGGAUACGUUCGUUGGGUAGGGGAGCGUUCUGUAAGCCUGUGAAGGUGUGUCGUGAGGCAUGCUGGAGGUAUCAGAAGUGCGAAUGCUGACAUAAGUAACGAUAAAGCGGGUGAAAAGCCCGCUCGCCGGAAGACCAAGGGUUCCUGUCCAACGUUAAUCGGGGCAGGGUGAGUCGACCCCUAAGGCGAGGCCGAAAGGCGUAGUCGAUGGGAAACGGGUUAAUAUUCCCGUACUUGGUGUUACUGCGAAGGGGGGACGGAGAAGGCUAUGUUGGCCGGGCGACGGUUGUCCCGGUUUAAGCGUGUAGGUGUGUGUUCCAGGUAAAUCCGGUUCACUUUAACACUGAGGCGUGACGACGAGGCACUACGGUGCUGAAGCAACAAAUGCCCUGCUUCCAGGAAAAGCCUCUAAGCAUCAGGUA
rnacentral:rRNA from 1 species